GAUGAACGCUAGCUACAGGCUUAACACAUGCAAGUCGAGGGGAAACGACAUCGAAAGCUUGCUUUUGGUGGGCGUCGACCGGCGCACGGGUGAGUAACGCGUAUCCAACCUGCCCACCACUUGGGGAUAACCUUGCGAAAGUAAGACUAAUACCCAAUGAUAUCCCACGAAGGCAUCUGAAAGGGAUUAAAGAUUUAUCGGUGAUGGAUGGGGAUGCGUCUGAUUAGCUUGUUGGCGGGGUAACGGCCCACCAAGGCGACGAUCAGUAGGGGUUCUGAGAGGAAGGUCCCCCACAUUGGAACUGAGACACGGUCCAAACUCCUACGGGAGGCAGCAGUGAGGAAUAUUGGUCAAUGGGCGAGAGCCUGAACCAGCCAAGUAGCGUGCAGGACGACGGCCCUAUGGGUUGUAAACUGCUUUUAUAAGGGAAUAAAGUGGGUCUCGUGAGACUUUUUGCAUGUACCUUAUGAAUAAGGACCGGCUAAUUCCGUG
rnacentral:rRNA from 1 species